rnacentral:rRNA from 1 species
GACGAACGCUGGCGGCGUGCUUAACACAUGCAAGUCGAACGGAAAGGCCCCUUUGGGGGUACUCGAGUGGCGAACGGGUGAGUAACACGUGAGUAACCUGCCCUUGACUUCGGGAUAACUUCAGGAAACUGGGGCUAAUACCGGAUAGGAAUCCUUGCUGCAUGGUGGGGGUUGGAAAGCUUCGGCGGUUUUAGAUGGACUCGCGGCUUAUCAGCUUGUUGGUGGGGUAGUGGCUUACCAAGGCUUUGACGGGUAGCCGGCCUGAGAGGGCGACCGGCCACAUUGGGACUGAGAUACGGCCCAGACUCCGACGGGAGGCAGCAGUGGGGAAUAUUGCACAAUGGGCGGAAGCCGGAUGCAGCAACGCCGCGUGCGGGAUGACGGACUUCGGGUUGUAAACCGCUUUCAGCAGGGGCGAAGCUUGUGGUGACGGUACCUGCAGAAGAAGCACCGGCUAACUACGUG